CAGACCAGCAGGCUAGCAUGAUAGCACUGAGGCUAGACUGUUUAGCACGGCAUCCAAUAUCGCGGAUGAAAAAAGGAAUCGUCUAACUGCAGAGAGAGCAGAAAUGCUCAUAUUCCUCAAGAAGAACCUGCCGAUGCGAGGGCAAAGGGCCUUAAAUAAUGACUGUGGUGGCAGGUGUGGUUUGGCUCAGCUGCAGAGGGGACGGAGAGGGGAGUGGCUCGGGGAACAGUGCCAGGUGGAGGCGUAAUCGGCCUCAGGUGCAGGAAAUCAACAAUUGUUUGUCCCUGUAUUUCAGUAGUGGAGAUCCAGCGACAGAGAGUGAGACUAAGCCAGACGAGGAGGCUGGAGGCGGAUUUACACUGUGUUGAGAUACAAAAUAAAGUUGGUUCCUGAAGCUA